UGGGGAAUUUUGGACAAUGGGGGAAACCCUGAUCCAGCCAUCCCGCGUGUGCGAUGAAGGCCUUCGGGUUGUAAAGCACUUUUGGCAGGAAAGAAACGUCAUGGGUUAAUACCCCGUGAAACUGACGGUACCUGCAGAAUAAGCACCGGCUAACUACGUGCCAGCAGCCGCGGUAAUACGUAGGGUGCAAGCGUUAAUCGGAAUUACUGGGCGUAAAGCGUGCGCAGGCGGUUCGGAAAGAAAGAUGUGAAAUCCCAGAGCUCAACUUUGGAACUGCAUUUUUAACUACCGGGCUAAGGUGUGUCAGAGGGAGGUGGAAUUCCGCGUGUAGCAGUGAAAUGCGUAGAUAUGCGGAGGAACACCGAUGGCGAAGGCAGCCUCCUGGGAUAACACUGACGCUCAUGCACGAAAGCGUGGGGAGCAAACAGG
rnacentral:rRNA from 1 species